rnacentral:rRNA from 1 species
GAUGAACGCUGGCGGCGUGCCUAAUACAUGCAAGUCGAGCGAACGGACGAGAAGCUUGCUUUUCUGAUGUUAGCGGCGGACGGGUGAGUAACACGUGGAUAACCUACCUAUAAGACUGGGAUAACUUCGGGAAACCGGAGCUAAUACCGGAUAAUAUUUUGAACCGCAUGGUUCAAAAGUGAAAGACGGUCUUGCUGUCACUUAUAGAUGGAUCCGCGCUGCAUUAGCUAGUUGGUAAGGUAACGGCUUACCAAGGCAACGAUGCAUAGCCGACCUGAGAGGGUGAUCGGCCACACUGGACUGAGACACGGUCCAGACUCCUACGGGAGGCAGCAGUAGGGAAUCUUCCGCAAAGGGCGAAAGCCUGACGGAGCAACGCCGCGUGAGUGAUGAAGGUCUUCGGAUCGUAAAACUCUGUUAUUAGGGAAGAACAUAUGUGUAAGUAACUGUGCACAUCUUGACGGUACCUAAUCAGAAAGCCACGGCUAACUACGUG